rnacentral:rRNA from 1 species
AUUGAACGCUGGCGGCAUGCCUUACACAUGCAGGUCGAACGGCAGCAUGAUCUAGCUUGCUAGAUUGAUGGCGAGUGGCGAACGGGUGAGUAAUACAUCGGAACGUGCCCUGUAGUGGGGGAUAACUAGUCGAAAGAUUAGCUAAUACCGCAUACGACCUGAGGGUGAAAGUGGGGGACCGCAAGGCCUCAUGCUAUAGGAGCGGCCGAUGUCUGAUUAGCUAGUUGGUGAGGUAAAGGCUCACCAAGGCGACGAUCAGUAGCUGGUCUGAGAGGACGAUCAGCCACACUGGGACUGAGACACGGCCCAGACUCCUACGGGAGGCAGCAGUGGGGAAUUUUGGACAAUGGGCGAAAGCCUGAUCCAGCAAUGCCGCGUGUGUGAAGAAGGCCUUCGGGUUGUAAAGCACUUUUGUCCGGAAAGAAAUGGCUCUGGUUAAUACCUGGGGUCGAUGACGGUACCGGAAGAAUAAGGGCCGGCUAACUACGUG